GAGCGGACAGAUGGGAGCUUGCUCCCUGAUGUUAGCGGCGGACGGGUGAGUAACACGUGGGUAACCUGCCUGUAAGACUGGGAUAACUCCGGGAAACCGGGGCUAAUACCGGAUGGUUGUUUGAACCGCAUGGUUCAGACAUAAAAGGUGGCUUCGGCUACCACUUACAGAUGGACCCGCGGCGCAUUAGCUAGUUGGUGAGGUAACGGCUCACCAAGGCAACGAUGCGUAGCCGACCUGAGAGGGUGAUCGGCCACACUGGGACUGAGACACGGCCCAGACUCCUACGGGAGGCAGCAGUAGGGAAUCUUCCGCAAUGGACGAAAGUCUGACGGAGCAACGCCGCGUGAGUGAUGAAGGUUUUCGGAUCGUAAAGCUCUGUUGUUAGGGAAGAACAAGUGCCGUUCAAAUAGGGCGGCACCUUGACGGUACCUAACCAGAAAGCCACGGCUAACUACGUGCCAGCAGCCGCGGUAAUACGUAGGUGGCAAGCGUUGUCCGGAAUUAUUGGGCGUAAAGGGCUCGCAGGCGGUUUCUUAAGUCUGAUGUGAAAGCCCCCGGCUCAACCGGGGAGGGUCAUUGGAAACUGGGGAACUUGAGUGCAGAAGAGGAGAGUGGAAUUCCACGUGUAGCGGUGAAAUGCGUAGAGAUGUGGAGGAACACCAGUGGCGAAGGCGACUCUCUGGUCUGUAACUGACGCUGAGGAGCGAAAGCGUGGGGAGCGAACAGGAUUAGAUACCCUGGUAGUCCACGCCGUAAACGAUGAGUGCUAAGUGUUAGGGGGUUUCCGCCCCUUAG
rnacentral:rRNA from 1 species